CGGUGUUCAACUGGCGUGUCCGCGGGACGUCCUGCCGGUGGGCUUAGCCCGCAAGGGCGGCCCAACUUCAAAUCCCAUCGCGGUGCUCUUCACUGAGUGUCGAGGUGGGCCGGCACGUUUACUUUGAACAAAUUAGAGUGCUUAAAGCAGGCUAAAACUUCGCCUGAAUACUGUGUGCAUGGAAUAAUGGAAUAGGACCUCGGUUCUAUUUUGUUGGUUUUCGGAACCCCGAGGUAAUGAUUAAUAGGAACGGAUGGGGGCAUUCGUAUUGCGACGUUAGAGGUGAAAUUCUUGGAUCGUCGCAAGACGGACAGAAGCGAAAGCAUUUGCCAAAAACGCUUUCAUUGAUCAAGAACGAAAGUUAGAGGUUCGAGGGCGAUCAGAUACCGCCCUAGUUCUAACCAUAAACGAUGCCAGCUAGCGAUCCGCCGACGUUCCUCCGAUGACUCGACGGGCAGCUUCCGGGAAACCAAAGCUUUUGGGUUCCGGGGGAAGUAUGGUUGCAAAGCUGAAACUUAAAGGAAUUGACGGAAGGGCACCACCAGGAGUGGAGCCUGCGGCUUAAUUUGACUCAACACGGGAAACCUCACCAGGCCCGGACACCGGAAGGAUUGACAGAUUGAGAGCUCUUUCUUGAUUCGGUGGGUGGUGGUGCAUGGCCGUUCUUAGUUGGUGGAGCGAUUUGUCUGGUUAAUUCCGAUAACGAACGAGACUCUAGCCUGCUAACUAGGCGUAUUUUCGACAUCUCAAAGGUCCGUCGUCCCGGCCCUCGGGUCGUGGGCGUGCGCGAUUUUUACUGUCGGCGUACUAUCAAUUCUUCUUAGAGGGACAGGUGGCUUCUAGCCGCACGAGAUUGAGCAAUAACAGGUCUGUGAUG
rnacentral:rRNA from 1 species